CAUUAGCUAGUUGGUAAGGUAACGGCUUACCAAGGCUACGAUGUCUAGGGGCUCUGAGAGGAGAAUCCCCCACACUGGUACUGAGACACGGACCAGACUCCUACGGGAGGCAGCAGUAAGGAAUAUUGGUCAAUGGACGGAAGUCUGAACCAGCCAUGCCGCGUGCAGGAUGACGGCCCUAUGGGUUGUAAACUGCUUUUAUACGGGAACAAACGUCGGUACGUGUACCGGUCUGAGUGUACCGUAAGAAUAAGGAUCGGCUAACUCCGUGCCAGCAGCCGCGGUAAUACGGAGGAUCCGAGCGUUAUCCGGAAUUAUUGGGUUUAAAGGGUGCGUAGGCGGCCGGAUAAGUCAGGGGUGAAAGUCGGCAGCUCAACUGUCGCAGUGCCUUUGAUACUGUUUGGCUUGAAUUCGGUUGAAGAUGGCGGAAUGAGACAAGUAGCGGUGAAAUGCAUAGAUAUGUCUCAGAACCCCGAUUGCGAAGGCAGUUAUCUAAGCCGUUAUUGACGCUGAUGCACGAAAGCGUGGGUAGCAAACAGGAUUAGAUACCCUGGUAGUCCACGCCCUAAACGAUGAUAACUCGAUGUUGGCGAUAUACAGUCAGCGUCUUAGCGAAAGCGUUAAGUAUCCAC
rnacentral:rRNA from 1 species